GGGGGGAUAAAGUAAGCAGGUGUCAACCAAAACGUGCAGCUUCACGAGGCAAAGGUAAAGUUUUAAAGAAAAGAGAGACUUUAUUAAAAAGGUUUGCAAGCCGGGGAGGGACAUCUCCCCUCGCAACCUGACGGUGAGGCCGCCUCCGUCGAGGGUGGCGGGGCUGAAGGGCACGGAGCGCCGCGGCCCGAGGCCAGGUCUCCCCGGCAGCCCUUCCUCACCCCGCCACCCCGAGGCCGUGCUGCGCUCCGGCAGGGGUCAAGGUCAAACGCAGUUUCCUUAUUUCCGUCCAAAGCUCAGCCCUGAGGGGGUCAUGGUAACCGUCGCGUGGACUAUGGCCUCGUUAUCUCUUUCUCUUACCAAAAGAACAGAAGAAAUCUUAUUUUGCAUCACCGAAAAUAUCUGGUUCAAAAUCUCCCCCGCACCUUCAGACACUAGGGCAUUGUCAUCUUUCUCCGCAAGCGGGGCCGUCCGCUAGGAACGCUGCGACCUGAAUUCAAGAAGUACCGCGCAAGGGCUAAAAAUCACAGUUAGGAACAAAAAUUAUUUGCUGAUGAAAUCACCGUCUACCUAGAACGACGAGGCUAAACAACCGCAACAUUACUAACAGGAUCAAGACGCGUCUCACUACGAAGCAAAGACACAACACCCAGCACCUUCGUCUGUACCUGCAGUAAGCACCUAGAAGGUUCGAUGGGGGAAGCAGUCCCUCACAAUGGCAGCACCAACCGCAAAUCAAUGACGAGCCGUGCCUCCGGGACAGGUGGCUGGGCACACAGGCUGGGCGGCCCGGACCGCUCGGAGCCCACUCCCGGCCCUGCCCGCCGCCACCCCCUCGCACGCGCCGCGUCCGACCCCACGCGCUCGCGCGUCCUCCGCGUCCCCGCCCCCUCACGCACGCGCACCGGCCCCGACACGCGCACGCACGUCUCGGACGCCGCACGCACCGCUCGAGCCCCUCCGCUGAGAAUCGCGGCAGGGACGCGAAAUCCAGAAUCCCUCCGCGGGGCGAAGCGAGGCGGCGCAGGUGCUGCUGGGAAAUGUAGUCCCGCCGCUCGAGUCGGAGUGGCUACAGAGCUCGCGGCUUCGGGGCCUUGGGCACCGCCGCCCGCCCCGGCGCGCUCUUUUCUCUUUUCGCGGCGGCCCGGGAGCUUCGAGGCCGAGAAGCAGUUUAUUCAUGUCACCGAGCAAGGGCUCGCCUCCUGAUGUGCACAGAAGCUGACACCAGUCUUUGAAAGAAGAAGGACUUUAUUGCACAGUCCAGGCUCUCAAAUCUGCUUCACCCGUCCAAGGUAAGGGGUGAGGCUGAAGGGAGCAGGGAGGGCAGGCUGGCAUGCGGAAGCACUGGCAGGGUGAGGCUCGAUUGGCAGAUCAAAAUUUUCUCUUCUGUGCACGCUCCUGGCUGGCUCGCUGGCCCUGAAAAAUAGCCUUAACAUCCUGUCGUUAAAAUGGAGUCAGUUAUGGGAGCUUACCAGGAAAAGCACAGUAAGCAAGGAUGAAGUUGUUAAUGCAGAUUUAAGUCAUUGCUUUCUCCAUUGAUAAAAGUUUCUGGAGAUUUAUAGUCAUCCUUCUCUUCCUGGCACAGAGAGGAAGGCACUUACAAAUGGCGAUUUCUCUUAUGUAGAUGUAGGUUUCCCUUACGAAAGGGUAAGUUCUACUAGGUGUUCAGAGCUUUUCCUGUGUCUGUUGUUUUUUAAUAAUCAUCAGUUGAAAAUAGCCAUGUCCCACAAAUAAUCCAUAAUCAAUCUAUAAAUCAAAAUUGGGGUGAGUUUAUUAUGAACCAGGUUUGAGGACUGUAGCCCAGGGCCUUCCUUCCCCAGAAAGGAGGGGCACCAAAGAAGUAAGGUGUACAGAGUGGUUGUGUACUAUCUGGCAAUAAAGAGCGUACAUCAUGUACA
rnacentral:lncRNA from 1 species